GAUGAACGCUGGCGGCGUGCCUAAUACAUGCAAGUCGAGCGAACAGAUGAGGAGCUUGCUCCUCUGACGUUAGCGGCGGACGGGUGAGUAACACGUGGAUAACCUACCUAUAAGACUGGGAUAACUUCGGGAAACCGGAGCUAAUACCGGAAAAUAUAUUGAACCGCAUGGUUCAAUAGUGAAAGACGGUUUUGCUGUCACUUCUAGAUGGAUCCGCGCCGCUGUAGCUAGUUGGUAAGGUAACGGCUUACCAAGGCAACGAUGCGUAGCCGACCUGAGAGGGGGAUCGGCCACACUGGAACUGAGACACGGUCCAGACUCCUACGGGAGGCAGCAGUAGGGAAUCUUCCGCAAUGGGCGAAAGCUUGACGGAGCAACGCCGCGUGAGUGAUGAAGGUCUUCGGAUCGUAAAACUCUGUUAUUAGGGAAGAACAAAUGUGUAAGUAACUAUGCACGUCUUGACGGUACCUAAUCAGAAAGCCACGGCUAACUACGUG
rnacentral:rRNA from 1 species